rnacentral:rRNA from 1 species
GUAGUCUCGCACAGAUGCAUAUCAAUAAGCGGAGGAAAAGAAACUAACAAGGAUUCCCUUAGUAACGGCGAGUGAAGCGGGAAGAGCUCAAAUUUGAAAUCUUCAAGGUUUUACCUUGACGAAUUGUAGUUUAAAGAAGUGUUUUCUGUUGAAGUUUUGGUAAAAGUUCUUUGGAAUAGGACAUCAUAGAGGGUGAGAAUCCCGUAUUUGACCAUUAUUUUCAGCUGUGUGAUACACUUUCAAAGAGUCGGAUUGUUUGGGAAUGCAGUCCAAAAUGGGUGGUAAAUUUCAUCUAAAGCUAAAUAUUGGCGAGAGACCGAUAACGAACAAGUACCGUGAGGGAAAGAUGAAAAGAACUUUGAAAAGAGAGUUAAACAGUACGUGAAAUUGUCAAAAGGGAAGCGUUUGACACCAGUGUUGUUUUCUCGAAAAUCAAUUAAAAAGAGUUAGAUUUUGUUGUGUAUUGACCUUAACAGCUUGCAUUUCAAUUUUCUUGCUUUUUUUUUAAUGCACUUUUCGUUUAACAAGUCAACAUCAGUUUCUUUUGUUGUAAAAAGGUCAUUGGAAGGUGGCUUUCUUUUCGGAGAAAGUGUUUAUAGCCUUUGACUCCUGCAAUCGGAGAGACUGAGGUCUGCAGCGUAGAUCCUUCGGGGUUAGAUACAUUUGUGCUAAGUUAUAGCUUUUUAUAGACAACUUGUUGACUAUGAUUAGUCUUGUAGCUUACUCGCUUAUGCUAUUUUACCUACGCUUAGGAUGUUGAGCGCAUGUCUCUCUCU